GAUUGGGUAGCUCAGUUGGUUAAGCAUCUGACUUUGGCUCAGGUCAUGAUCUCAUGGUUCGUGGGUUCGAGCCCUGCCUCAGGCU
rnacentral:tRNA from 1 species